AUGGAUUACAGAAGAAUUGAUUUGGGAGAGGCGAGGAGAACCUGCCUAGAAGCAACGUGCCGCGGCGGCGGGGACAGGUGGGCUGGGCGCGGCGAGGACCAAUCUGGGGCGGCGACGACCAAGCUGGGCGGGGGCGGCUACCAAAUAGGCACAGCGGCGGCGGCCAAGCGGGCGCGGCAGCAACCAAGCGGGCGCAGCGGAGGCCGAACUGGGCACCUGGGAUCGGGACCGAGUGCCUGCAGGCGGGGCCCGAGCGCUUGGACGAAGGGGAUGACGCGAGCUCCUGCAGGAGGAAGACGGCACGCUGGAGAAGGAAGACGGGCGAGCUCCUGUAGGAAGAAGACGACGCGAGCUCUGGAGGAGGAAGACGACUCAAAUUUCAAAUCGAGGGUAAAACUGUCCAUUUCCCCAUUUGUCGGCUGUGUCUGA
rnacentral:rRNA from 1 species